rnacentral:rRNA from 1 species
CAGUAGCCGCGGGAAUACGAGGGGAGCUAGCGUUGUUCGGAAUUACUGGGCGUAAAGCGCGCGUAGGCGGCUUUUUAAGUCAGAGGUGAAAGCCCGGGGCUCAACCCCGGAAUUGCCUUUGAAACUGGAAAGCCAGAAUCUUGGAGAGGUCAGUGGAAUUCCGAGUGUAGAGGUGAAAUUCGUAGAUAUUCGGAAGAACACCAGUGGCGAAGGCGACUGACUGGACAAGUAUUGACGCUGAGGUGCGAAAGCGUGGGGAGCAAACAGGAUUAGAUACCCCCGUAGUCCCUGUCUCUUAUAC